CAAUAGUGUAUACUAAUGUUGUUGCAGUUAAAAAGCUCGUAGUUGAACUUCUGGUAGGAGUGUCCCGGCCUUUUUGUUUUUACAAAUUGUAUGCUGUGUGACAUCUCUGGCCAUCCUUCUUCUUUGUUUAAAGAAGAUCUUUCACUGUAAAAAAAUUAGGGUGUUCAAAGCAAAAGUUUCUUUGGAAUAUAUUAGUAUGGGAUGAUAAGAUAGGCUCUAGAUGCUAUUUUGUUGGUUUGCACAUUUAGAGAAUGAUUAACAGGGACAGUUGGGGGUAUUCGUAUUUACAUGUCAGAGGUGAAAUUCUUGGAUUUUGGAAAGACGAACUACUGCGAAAGCAUUUACCAAGGAUGUUUUCAUUAA
rnacentral:rRNA from 1 species